GAUGAACGCUGGCGGCGUGCUUAACACAUGCAAGUCGAACGGAAAGGCCUCUUUCGGGGGGUACUGGAGUGGCGAACGGGUGAGUAACACGCGAGUAGCCUGCCCAUCUCUAAGGGAGAACUAAAGGAGAGAGGGGCGAGUACCGGCUAGGAGCUCCUGCUGCAUGGAGGGGUCUGGAAAGUUUCGGCGGCUGGGGAUGGACUCGCGGCUGAUCAGCUUGUCGGUGGGGAAGUGGCUACCCAAGGCUUUGACGGGUAGACGGCCUGGGAGGGUGGCCGGCCACCAUGGGCCUACGGUACGGCCCAGACUCCUACGGGAGGCAGCAGUGGGGAAUCUUGCACAACGGGCGGAAGUCUGAUGCAGCGACGCCGCGUUCGUGAUGACCUCCUUCGGGUUGUAAACCGCUUUCGCCUGUGCCGAAGCGUGCUUGACGGUAAUGGGUCAGGAAGCCACGGCUAACUACGUG
rnacentral:rRNA from 1 species